UGGGUAGUCCGCACGAGCGCACCCUUUUCUUAGUUGCCAGCACGUUAUGGUGGGGACUCUAAGGAUACCGCCUGGGACAACCAGGAGGAAGGUGGGGAUGAUGUCAAGUCAGUAUGUCCCUUAUGUCCAGGGCUACACACGUGUUACAAUGGUAAGUACAAUGGGUCGCCAACCCGCGAGGGGGAGCUAAUCCCAAAAAACUUACCCCAGUUCAGAUUGGAGUCUGCAACUCGACUCCAUGAAGGAGGAAUCGCUAGUAAUCGUGGAUCAGCACGCCACGGUGAAUACGUUCCCGGGUCUUGUACACACCGCCCGUCACGCCAUGGAAGUCAGCAGUACCCGAAGCCGGUGGCCUAACCUUCGGGAGGGAGCCGUCUAAGGUAAGGCUGGUAACUGGGGCGAAGUCGUAACAAGGUAGCCGUACCGGAAGGUGCGGCUGGAUCACCUCCUUUCU
rnacentral:rRNA from 1 species